rnacentral:lncRNA from 1 species
UGAAAACUAAACAGUUCUGGAGUUAGGGGUUUGGAGAACGGGCUAUUGUUAAAGAAAAAAGUAUUUAGUGACACUUGUUAAAGCACAAAAAGAGGGCUUUAUUCAGGACCAUCGCAACAGGUAUAGGGACCACUGACUGCAAUGGAGACUUGCAGUAGGGAAAGAGAUAUUGGGCUCAACUCCUCAUACAGCAUGGGCAAGUGGAGAUUUAUAGCCAAGGAGCGGUGGGCCAAGAUAAUGAGGCAUCACCUGGGGGAUGGUGGAGACUGAAGAACCUGAUCAGAUAUUGAGGAUGAUCAGCUAUCAAGGAUGGGGGUUUAUUGCUAAUCUGACUUAGCAAAGUUCUUUGCUUAAACUGGAUUUUACAAAGAAAGUGUACAGAAGAGCCUAGCAGAAGAUUCAGAAACCUGACUAAAGUUGGCCAAGCAAAAAAAAAAAUCUUUGUAUCUGAAGGGAUAUGUUAUCCUCU